rnacentral:rRNA from 1 species
CGUAGGGUGCAAGCGUUGUCCGGAAUUAUUGGGCGUAAAGAGCUCGUAGGCGGUUUGUCGCGUCUGCUGUGAAAACUCGGGGCUUAACUCCGGGCCUGCAGUGGGUACGGGCAGACUAGAGUGCGGUAGGGGAGACUGGAAUUCCUGGUGUAGCGGUGAAAUGCGCAGAUAUCAGGAGGAACACCGGUGGCGAAGGCGGGUCUCUGGGCCGUAACUGACGCUGAGGAGCGAAAGCGUGGGGAGCGAACAGG